CCGCCCACCAUUGAGUCUGUUUCUGACCAAGGUUUCUGCCUGUUAAAAGGAAGUUUUUUCUUGCCACUGUCGCCAAACGCUUGCUCAUGGUCGGAUUUGUUAGGUCACUGUAAAUAAUAUUAUAAAGAUUACAGUCUAGACCUGCUCUACAGGAAAAGUGCAAUGAGAUAACUUCUGUUAUGAAAUGGUGCUAAAAGAUGACUGGUCAAGUUAAAGCACUUGAAGAAAGAACUCAACGAGACGGAUGGGGGGGCCUCAUGAUGCAGGAUCUCUAAGCCAUGAUGUGGAAGUGGUGAAUCAGAAAGGGCUUUUGUGGAUAAAGCUGGGCAAGGUGUAGCUGUCACAAAAGACCCUGAAAGCCACUCUCUAGGACACUUGAACAUGGUUCCGGGAGGCUUCAAUGAGGAUGGGAGCAAGAGCUCAAAGAGACAGGGCAAAAGGAAACCCCAAACCAUACAGGUGAACAAUGUGAAAAAUGCACCGACAGAGCCGCUACAGGGUCUGUUCCUUUUUUGAAGAUUAUUUGAAGGACAGAAGACAAAACUCUCGCUCUGCCGGUGAUCACUACCUCAGUCUGCCUUUCGGAUCAUCCAGAUACCCAUUACCACGCCCCUCUCGCCAUCCGGCCGAUUUCGCCUCCGGAGACUGCCGGCUACCCGCACUACACGCCCGGCUUCAGUGAUCCUCCGCCUGGUCGGCUCAGCCUUCCCGUUACGCUCGCCAGUCCAGAGCCAGCCCACCUUGUCUGCGUCCGGAGCGCCGCCAGUCUCGUCUCCGACCUGGUCUGGUUGAAUCUGACCACGCCGGAUUCUCCGCUAGCUUACAAUUAUCUGCACAAUAAAAAUUGUCCAACUAAACCCAGUUCUGUUCAGUGAGUUUCUGCAUUUGGGUCCUGAAAACAGUCCUAUGACAAUAGGCUAUAUAUCUAUGACAACAUGCAAAGUGCAUUGAUGUAGUGCUCUAUGCAGAAAGCUUGCAAACACAUUGGGUGGUUAACAGUUCAAAUGCAGCACUCAGGCUUUAAAGACCACAAGCUUUUAUUGCCUCCUAGAAAAUAUAGAAUACGCUGGCAUGUAGCUAGAAUGAAUAGAAUAAUUUUGAAUAAUGUAGAGUGCCUCUAUGUACCACAGAAGGGGCUCGAUUUGGCUGAUUACAAUUUAAAAGUAUGUAGCUAUGAAAGAGACAUGAAAUGACAAAAAACACUAUUGUGAUUAUUUACCCAUUAACCAGCAUCAGCACCCUAACGGAAAUGUGAGCCCCCCCCGCAGCUAACCCAGAGUGGGCCCCUUCCUUGCAGAAAAGAGCAGGCGAAAUUUAACACCUUUCAUAGUGAGGAUACUAAAUCAUUUCAAAUGCACAAGAUUUAACAGACCACUUUAGAACACUGGACACAGAUUAUGGAGUUAAUUGUACUGAGUACAUUUUAAACAGUUGGAGCUUUUUAAAGUGUCACAACUACUGUCAAGGUGCUGAUCCUGUGACGGCCAUGAUUGCUGGAGCUGUUCACGGUACUCUGUAUUUGACUCCUCCUCAUUACUCAUUGUCGCAGAGUGCAGGAUUUCAUUAUCAAAAUUAUUGUAAAAAGCCCACCUGCCCACUCAACUCAGAUUGUUACACAAUUGUUAAGCUACUGUGAAGACAGAGCUUUUCCUUUAAGCCAGCAUAUUUUUAAAUCGGUUUUUCAAACAGAAAAAGAUAACAUCAAUUGUGAAUACAUGUACAUUACUAGGACUACAGUAUCUGUUUCUUACAGCACGUAUACUCAGG